UACGGGGGGGGCAAGCGUUGUUCGGAAUUACUGGGCGUAAAGGGCUCGUAGGCGGCCAACUAAGUCGGACGUGAAAUCCCCAGGCUCAACCUGGGAACUGCGUCCGAUACUGGAUGGCUUGAAUCCGGGAGAGGGAUGCAGAAUUCCAGGUGUAGCGGUGAAAUGCGUAGAUAUCUGGAGGAACACCGGUGGCGAAGGCGGCGACCUGGGUCGAUACUGACGCUGAGGUGCGAAAGCGUGGGGAGCAAACAGG
rnacentral:rRNA from 1 species